rnacentral:rRNA from 1 species
ACGCACGCUGGCGGCGUGCUUCACCCCUGCCGGUUGAACGAGAAUUUUUCGAGUGAUUUCUUCGGAAUGAUCACGAAAAAGGAAGGUAGCGAACGGGUGAGUAACACGUGAGAAACCUGCCUUUCACAAAGGGAUAGCCUCGGGAAACCGGGAUUAAUACCUUAUGAAACCAAACACUCGCAUGAGAGAUUGGUUAAAGAUUUAUCGGUGUUAGAUGGUCUCGCGUCUGAUUAGCUAGUUGGUGGGAUAAAAGCCUACCAAGGCAACGAUCAGUAGCCGGAUUGAGAGGUUGAACGGCCACACUGGAACUGAGACACGGUCCAGACUCCUACGGGAGGCAGCAGUGGGGAAUUUUGCACAAUGGAGGAAACUCUGAUGCAGCGACGCCGCGUGAGUGAUGAAGGUCUUCGGAUUGUAAAACUCUGUCCUUAGUGAAGAUAAUGACAGUAACUAAGAAGCAAGCCCUGGCUAAAUACGUG